rnacentral:rRNA from 1 species
AGUGAACGCUGGCGGUAGGCCUAACACAUGCAAGUCGAACGGCAGCACAGUAAGAGCUUGCUCUUACGGGUGGCGAGUGGCGGACGGGCGAGGAAUACAUCGGAAUCUACUUUUUCGUGGGGGAUAACGUAGGGAAACUUACGCUAAUACCGCAUACGACCUACGGGUGAAAGCAGUGGAUCUUCGGACCUUGCGCGAUUGAAUGAGCCGAUGUCGGAUUAGCUAGUUGGCGGGGUAAAGGCCCACCAAGGCGACGAUCCGUAGCUGGUCUGAGAGGAUGAUCAGCCACACUGGAACUGAGACACGGUCCAGACGCCUACGGGAGGCAGCAGUGGGGAAUAUUGGACAAUGGGCGCAAGCCUGAUCCAGCCAUACCGCGUGGGUGAAGAAGGCCUUCGGGUUGUAAAGCCCUUCUGUUGGGAAAGAAAAGCAUCAGGUUAAUACCCCGCUGUUCUGACGGUACCCAAAGAAUAAGCACCGGCUAACUUCGUG